rnacentral:rRNA from 1 species
UACAGAGGUCCCAAGCGUUGUUCGGAUUCAUUGGGCGUAAAGGGUGUGUAGGUGGCGCUGUAAGUGGGGUGUGAAGUCUCGGGGCUUAACUCCGAAACUGCAUUCCAUACUGCGGUGCUUGAGGACUGGAGAGGAGACUGGAAUUCAUGGUGUAGCAGUGAAAUGCGCGGAGAUCAUGAGGAAGACCAGUGGCGAAGGCGGGUCUCUGGACAGUUCCUGACACUGAGACAGAAGGCCAGGGGAGC